rnacentral:rRNA from 1 species
CCUACGGGUGGCAGCAGUGGGGAAUAUUGCACAAUGGGGGAAACCCUGAUGCAGCGACGCCGCGUGAAGGAAGAAGUAUUUCGGUAUGUAAACUUCUAUCAGCAGGGAAGAAAAUGACGGUACCUGACUAAGAAGCCCCGGCUAACUACGUGCCAGCAGCCGCGGUAAUACGUAGGGGGCAAGCGUUAUCCGGAUUUACUGGGUGUAAAGGGAGCGUAGGCGGUUUAGCAAGUCAGAAGUGAAAGCCCGGGGCUCAACUCCGGGACUGCUUUUGAAACUGUUGAACUAGAUUGCAGGAGAGGAAGGUGGAAUGCGUGGUGUAGCGGUGAAAUGCAUAGAUAGUAGGCAGAACCCCGGUGGCGAAGGCAGCUUUCUGG